UACAGAGGUCCCAAGCGUUGUUCGGAUUCACUGGGCGUAAAGGGUGCGUAGGUGGUUGGGCAAGUCGGAUGUGAAAUCUCCGGGCUUAACCCGGAAAUGGCAUUGGAAACUGCCUGGCUAGAGUGUUGGAGGGGGGACUGGAAUUCUCGGUGUAGCAGUGAAAUGCGUAGAUAUCGAGAGGAACACCAGUGGCGAAGGCGAGUCCCUGGACAACGACUGACACUGAGGCACGAAAGCUAGGGGAGCAAACAGG
rnacentral:rRNA from 1 species